AGGGAUGCAGUCUGGGAAACGUAGUUGCAAACCUAGCGACUUUGUUGUUAGAUUCAAUGACUUUUCAGACCCCCUAACGACUUUUUUUUUAGAAAGAAAGGGAAUUUUAUCGACUUCCUCUGGAGUUUAGAGACUCUGACAUGAAGCAGGCUUUCCUUACUGAGGAGUUAGCAACGCUGCUAAGGGUGCAGAGCCACACAUGCGCUCCGAGCUCUGCAUGGGAGACUAAAGCUGACAGAGCUGCAGCAGUUAGCAGGUUUCACCCUCAGAGACCACCAGGGGUUCAUGUUGAGGCAUUUUCAGUUUUUUUUUUUUUUUUGCCAUAGACACUGUCAGCACAAUCUGCAGUUACACUAACAAAAAUGCUGCAAAAAACAAAGAAUUAUGGAAAAAUUACACAUGGACUAACAUAGAGGAGGAUCUACACAAGUUUUUUACAUCAUGUUUUACAUCAUGCAUCAUUUACAUCAUGUUUUUUUGUAUUGGCAUAAAUAAAAAGUGACAUUUGUGAGACUAUACAGUGUUUUGUAAAUAAUUUUACAAAGAACGCCUGGGCCAUUGCCUGCAUUUUGAUGUAAAUAGAGGUAAAUUACUAUGUUCUUUGUUAAAAAUUUGCAUAUGUUUUGAAGUUUACAAUUUUUAUUUGAAGUUUAAGUUUUAAAAACAGUUCAUCACACAUAUUUGUGGUUUAAUUUCACAUUAAUUUCCAUAUUGUAUAAAUGACUGGAAAAAACUUGAGCCCCUGCCCCUGUAUAAUCAUGUGCACGUCCCUGUUCUAGCUCCAAGGUGGAUCUUCACUGCUCAUGUUCUCCUCAGAAGUAGUCACCUCACUCCCCUCAGGUUACUGUACACAUGCACCAACUAUCUGCUUCAGGUUUGGAUGGAGCUUCAUGGUUGUCUUUUGGAGAAAUGAACAGUCAAGUUGUGUUUGAAAUUUGAUUUUUUUCAGGGGCAAAAGGAAGCCUCUGCAUUCUUGUCAAAUAUGUAAACAGCAUGUUUUUGCAGGUGCUAAAAAACAGACUCUGAGUGUGUGUGUGUGUGUGUGUGUGUGUGUGUGUGUGUGUGUGUUGGCGUGUGUGUAUAUGUGUGUGUGUCCGGCAGUACUCUGUACUCCUGCAGUGGCCAAAAAGACUUUUAAGAAUGUGGAUUUUUGGGUCAUCUUUGGCGCCCCCUAGAACUGCAGUACUCUGUACUCCUGCAGUGGCCAAAAUGACUUUUAAGAAUGUGGAUUUUUGGGUCAUCUUUGGCGCCCCCUAGAACCUAAACCAUGGGGUGCAGCGUCAUGAUUUUUACAACUUUGAAUGGCCAUGGGGUGUAGAUUGCCCUGAGCAAAUUUGGUAUCGGUGGGACGAAAGCCUUAGGAGGAGAUAGCCACAUUCCAAUGUGUGCGAAUCGGCAAAAAAUGCGAAAUAGCCCUUUAACCAUACAUUUGACAUAUACGUGCCUAUUGACUUUUUUGUAGAUCUUAUUGAGAUACACGUGAUUGUCAAAUUGUGUGUCAAUAUGACAAAGUGUAUAGGCGUGACACUCAACAAUGUGUAUUUUUACCUUAGGAGACAAGAAAAAAUGGACUUUUUUCUCCUGCCAUGGGGGGGGCGCUCUUUUGGGGAGUAAAAAUUCCUUCACAAAUGUGUUGAUGGCUGGACAUUGCAUCAUCCUAGAAAACUUGGAGGCCAGUGAGGACAAAAAUAAAAAGUUAUAAGACUUUUAAGAAUGUGGAUUUUUGUGUUAUCUUUGGCGCCCCCUAGAAAGUAAACCGUGGGGUGCAGCAUCAUGAUUUGUACAACUUUUAAUGCCCAUGGGGUGUAGAUUGGCCUGAGCAAAUUUGGUGCCGGUGGAACGAAAGCCUUCGGAGGAGUUAGCGAAAUUCCAAUGUGUGCGGAUCGGCAAAAAAAGCGAAAUAGCCCUUUAACCGUACAUUUGACAGAUACGCGCGCACUGACUUUUUCGUAGAUCUUAUUGAGAUACACAUGUGUGUCAAAUUUUGUGUCAUUUUGACAAAGCGU